rnacentral:rRNA from 1 species
AGAGUUUGAUCCUGGCUCAGGAUGAACGCUGGCGGCGUGCCUAACACAUGCAAGUCGAGCGAUUCUCUUCGGAGAAGAGCGGCGGACGGGUGAGUAACGCGUGGGUAACCUGCCUCAUACACAUGGAUAACAUACCGAAAGGUAUGCUAAUACAGGAUAAUAUAAGAGAUUCACAUGGAUUUCUUAUCAAAGCUCCGGCGGUAUGAGAUGGACCCGCGUCUGAUUAGCUAGUUGGUAAGGUAACGGCUUACCAAGGCGACGAUCAGUAGCCGACCUGAGAGGGUGAUCGGCCACAUUGGAACUGGGACACGGUCCAAACUCCUACGGGAGGCAGCAGUGGGGAAUAUUGCACAAUGGGCGAAAGCCUGAUGCCAGCAACGCCGCGUGAGUGAUGAAGGCCUUCGGGUCGUAAAACUCUGUCCUCAAGGAAGAUAAUGACGGUACUUGAGGAGGAAGCCCCGGCUAACUACGUGCCAGCAGCCGC